rnacentral:rRNA from 1 species
UGUUGGGUGACGGCGUACCUUUUGUAUAAUGGGUCAGCGACUUAUGUUCAGUGGCGAGGUUAACCGUUUAGGGGAGCCGUAGGGAAACCGAGUCUGAAUAAGGCGAAUCAGUCGCUGGGCAUAGACCCGAAACCGGGCGAUCUAUCCAUGAGCAGGUUGAAGGUUGAGUAACAUCAACUGGAGGACCGAACCCACUGUCGUUGAAAAGCCAGGGGAUGACUUGUGGAUCGGAGUGAAAGGCUAAUCAAGCCCGGAGAUAGCUGGUUCUCCCCGAAAGCUAUUUAGGUAGCGCCUCGGAUGAAUACCACAGGGGGUAGAGCACUGUCUCGGCUAGGGGGUCAUCCCGACUUACCAACCCGAUGCAAACUCCGAAUACCUGUGAGUACUAUCCGGGAGACACACGAUGGGUGCUAACGUCCGUCGUGGAGAGGGAAACAACCCAGACCGCCAGCUAAGGUCCCCAAGUACCAGUUAAGUGGGAAACGAUGUGGGAAGGCUUAGACAGCUAGGAGGUUGGCUUAGAAGCAGCCAUCCUUUAAAGAAAGCGUAAUAGCUCACUAGUCGAGUCGGCCUGCGCGGAAGAUGUAACGGGGCUCAAACUGGUCACCGAAGCUGCGGCUGCAUACAUUGUAUGCGGGGUAGGGGAGCGUUCUGUAAGCCUGCGAAGGUGUGUUGAGAAGCAUGCUGGAGGUAUCAGAAGUGCGAAUGCUGACAUGAGUAACGAUAAUGCGGGUGAAAAACCCGCACGCCGGAAGACCAAGGGUUCCUGCGCAACGCUAAUCGGCGCAGGGUGAGUCGGCCCCUAAGGUGAGACCGAAAGGUGUAAUCGAUGGGAAACGGGUUAAUAUUCCCGUACCUUGGAUAGCUGCGAUGGAGAGACGGAGAAGGCUAGGUGAGCCGGGCGACGGUUGUCCCGGUUUAAGCGAGUAGGGAGUGGGUUUAGGCAAAUCCGGAUCCACAAUCCCGAGACGCGACGACGAGUGCCCAUUGGGGCGCGAAGUCAUUGAUGCCCUGCUUCCAGGAAAAACUUCUAAGCUUCAGGCUAUUCGAGUCCGUACCCCAAACCGACACAGGUGGUCAGGUUGAGAAUACCAAGGCGCUUGAGAGAACUCGGGUAAAGGAACUAGGCAAAAUGGUGCCGUAACUUCGGGAGAAGGCACGCCGGUGGUAUGUGAAGCCCCUGCGGGUGGAGCAGAAGCCGGUCGAAGAUACCAGGCCCCUACGACUGUUUAUUAAAAACACAGCACUGUGCAAACACGAAAGUGGACGUAUACGGUGUGACGCCUGCCCGGUGCCGGAAGGUUAAUUGAUGGGGUUAGUCCUCGGACGAAGCUCUUGAUCGAAGCCCCGGUAAACGGCGGCCGUAACUAUAACGGUCCUAAGGUAGCGAAAUUCCUUGUCGGGUAAGUUCCGACCUGCACGAAUGGCGUAACGAUGGGGGCGCUGUCUCUACCCGAGACUCAGUGAAAUUGAAACCGCCGUGAAGAUGCGGUGUAUCCGCGGCUAGACGGAAAGACCCCGUGAACCUUUACUAUAGCUUCACAGUGAACUUUGAAUAUGCUUGUGUAGGAUAGCUGGGAGGCUUUGAAACCGGGACGCCAGUUCCGGUGGAGCCA